rnacentral:pre_miRNA from 1 species
UUGAUACUCCCUCCGUCCAACAAAGGAUGUCUCAACUUUGACUAAAUUUGAAUGCAUCUAUACACUAAGUUAUGUCUAGAUACAUCCAAAUUUUGACAAACUUGAGACAUCUUUUGUUGGACGGAGGGAGUAUUAA